AAGAAAACAAAAGCACAGGGUAUUAAAACAUAAGAAAUGUUUACACAUGUAAGAUUGAAAAUUCAUCUAAUUUGUAGUACCCUUAGCUUUUGAGUUGGUGAAAAAAAAAAAAAAAAAAAAUCUUUUGAGUUGGUGGAUAAGUAUCUCACCAACUCCCUCAUGAUACUUAUCAACUCAACCCAUUGAAACUAAUUAGCCUUCUCUCUCUAUCCCUCCUUAAUUUAGCUCGUGGGCAAGGUGGAGAGCUCGAGCUCAGGUGGAGUUGCCGUGGAGCUCGGAUCGACGCCGACGUCGCGCCACGGUACCGUUCGAGCAGGUCUUCGUCAUCGUAGCGCUGCGAGGAAGCUAGGCGAGGGUGCGUUUUCGUCGUUCUCACCGCCGCGUCGAUGCGAUUAGCCCUUGAGGUGAGUGUUCCGUUGCAUUGCUUCAAGUAUUGUCAUUUCGAGCGUGGUGCCGAUUUGCAGAAUUUCCAGCAUCGACCCGCCGUGUUUUACCUAGUUCUCUAUGUAGGAGUGUCGAAACGCGACGAAAUUUGACGUGCUAGAUUCGCGACUUCGAGACGAAGAUUUUGAGUCCAAGAUCGCAAUUUUUGGAGCAGGUUCCAGCGUCGACGUUUCGUAUUCUGGCCCGUUCUCUGCGUAGGAGCGUCGGAAUUCAGCGAAACCUGGACCAUUGGAUUCGUGACUUUGAGACGAAGCUUCAGAACCCUUGUUUGCUAAAUUUGGAUAAGCAGGAGAACCGGGGACUUCGACGGACCAGCGAGGGAUCAUUUUGGAUCCGGGCCACUUUCUUCGCUGCCAGGAGUUGCUUGAGAGGUGGGUUACAUCGGUUUUUACUCCUAAGUUCAUAUUCGUCGGCAUGUAUAAUUUUCGACCUUUGGAUAUUCUAUUCUAGCUCGAAUUCAUGGAUUAUAUUGUAGAUUGCAAAUCUGAAUUUGGAGCAUGUGGUAAUAAA